GCCCGGUUAGCUCAAUCGGUAGAGCGUGAGACUCUUAAGGAAUCUCCGUCCAAUCUCAAGGUUGCGGGUUCGACCCCCGCAUCGGGCU
rnacentral:tRNA from 1 species